rnacentral:rRNA from 1 species
AUGAACGCUAGCGACAGGCCUAACACAUGCAAGUCGAGGGGCGAGCACAAGGAGCAAUCUGAGGUGGCGACCGGCGCACGGGUGAGUAACACGUAUGCAACCUGCCUGUAAGCGGGGAAUAACCCGUUGAAAGACGGACUAAUACCGCAUAAUACUAAAUUACUGCAUGGUAAUUUAUUUAAACAUUUAUGGCUUACAGAUGGGCAUGCGCAUGAUUAGCUAGUUGGAGAGGUAACGGCUCCCCAAGGCAACGAUCAUUAGGGGUUCUGAGAGGAAGGUCCCCCACACUGGUACUGAGACACGGACCAGACUCCUACGGGAGGCAGCAGUGAGGAAUAUUGGUCAAUGGACGAGAGUCUGAACCAGCCAAGUCGCGUGCAGGAAGAAUGUCCUAUGGAUUGUAAACUGCUUUUGCAGGGGAAUAAAGUGCAUCACGUGUGAUGUUUUGUAUGUACUCUGCGAAUAAGGAUCGGCUAACUCCGUGCCAGCAGCUGC